rnacentral:lncRNA from 1 species
CCCAUGGCAGAGUUGAGUGAUCCAGUCUUUCUCUCUCCUCUGGCUGGAAGUCCACCAGAUCUGGGAAUGUCCAGUUGGGGGAGGGGGCUGACAAUGAUCAUGACCUUCACCUGUCCUCACAUGUCCUCUGUGUAUCUGCAAAGCCUCUGCCUCAGUCUCCUCUUCUGGAAAGUGGGAUUGGAAACCACAUCUGCUUCUCUCCCAGGACUUCUAGGAAGACAAGAUUAGAUGGCAGGUGAGAGCUCUUUGAAAAUGAAAACAUUCUGCUAUUUGAAUGCAAAGUGUUCUUCUUUGCCUGUGAUGUUUCCUAAUCUGUGAAAUCAUACUGGACCUCGAAGCUGUGUAUUAAAAAAAAAAAAAAUAGCAAAGUGGCUGGGCAGGGUGGCUCAUGCCUGUAGUCCUAGCACUUUGAGAGGCUGAGGGGGUUGGAUCACUUGAGGCCAGGAGUUCGAUACCAGCCUGGCCAAUAUGUGAAACCCCAUCUCUACUAAAAAUACAAAAAUUAGCCAGGUGUGGUGGCAUCUGCCUGUAGUUCCAGCUACUCAGGAGGCUGAGGCACAAGAAUCAUUUGAGCUCAGGAGGCAGAGGUUGCAGUGAGCCGAGAUGGCACCACUGCACUCCAGCCUGGGCGACAGAGCGAGGCUCUGUCUGAAAACAGAAAAAAAAAAAAAAAAAAAAAAAAAGCAAAGUUAACACUUCCUCCAUCUCUCCCCUAGGGGAGGCAAUUUGUCAAAGAUUGUUGUUGGAUUUUACACACAGGGAAAUCUAAGGAAGGUGUGGAAACCAGACCAGGACUCUCGUCUCCCUGUUUACAGGGUCUUAAAUGGGGGAGCCACUUUGGGUUCUUUCCACAAGAUUGCUUUGUAAAAAAAACAAGAAACAAACAAAAAACUCAAAAAAACAGCCCUGACCUAAAUAUUCACAAGGGACCUUAGGCAAUAUCUGCAAACAAAAGUGAAUGAUGAGUGGAAUCUGUCAUCUUUACAACUAAGACAGCUCCAGAGUUGAAGCAAGUGGAAAUAUCUCUAGAGACAGAGACUUGGGCGGGUUUUGCCAGUUACAAGCUAUGAGAACCUGGGCAGGUUUACCUCUCUGAGCUUCUGUGACCUUGUAAAAUAGGCAGCUUUGCGCUAAACUUGCAGGAGGAAUCCCAGCAUCCUCCUGUGCACAAGGCUGGUUUCUUCCCAUCCUUUUCCUUGUUCUGCCUCUCUCCUCCUCUCCAAGAAAUGAAUACAUUUGGACCCAGUAGGGGCCUAUGUUUGCAAAAGCUCGCAGGUGAUUCUCAUGCAGCCAGCCUGGCUCUGGCACUGAGGUCUUGGACACUUCUGGAGGCACAUUUACUAAUGAGGAAGGUCACUGUGUGCUGAAGGCAUGAUUCAUCUUCCAUUCCUUUCUUCCAUGAAGCAAGGUGCAUGGGUUGACUGAGCUGGGAGAGUCCACAGUGUCAGCCUCCCCCACGCUUCCCUCCCUCCUUAUUCCUUGUGUGCUGUACUUUGUCUUGAUUUCCUGUACUCUGCAUCAAGCCAGGAGAUGGAAGGAAAAUACAUGUACAGCCAACUUCCUUGAGGGUUCGUUCUUUUGCAUCAGGGUGUCUCAA